UACAGAGGUCCCAAGCGUUGUUCGGAUUCACUGGGCGUAAAGGGUGCGUAGGUGGUUGGGUAAGUCUGAUGUGAAAUCUCCGGGCUCAACCCGGAAAUGGCAUUGGAUACUAUUCGGCUAGAGGUUUGGAGGGGGGACUGGAAUUCUCGGUGUAGCAGUGAAAUGCGUAGAUAUCGAGAGGAACACCAGUGGCGAAGGCGAGUCCCUGGACAACACCUGACACUGAGGCGCGAAAGCGUGGGUAGCAAACAGG
rnacentral:rRNA from 1 species